AAACGAGGAAAGAUUUGACUGAUUGCAACCUCUUGUCCCGAAUCUUUGGUUCAGGAUCAAAAAAUGCUAAAGCAGUUU
rnacentral:ncRNA from 1 species